rnacentral:rRNA from 1 species
CCUACGGGAGGCAGCAGUAGGGAAUCUUCCACAAUGGGCGAAAGCCUGAUGGAGCAACGCCGCGUGGGUGAAGAAGGUCUUCGGAUCGUAAAACCCUGUUGUUAGAGAAGAAAGUGCGUGAGAGUAACUGUUCACGUUUCGACGGUAUCUAACCAGAAAGCCACGGCUAACUACGUGCCAGCAGCCGCGGUAAUACGUAGGUGGCAAGCGUUAUCCGGAUUUAUUGGGCGGAAAGGCAACGCAGGCGGUCUUUUAAGUCUGAUGUGAAAGCCUUCGGCUUAACCGGAGUAGUGCAUUGGAAACUGGGAGACGUGAGUGCAGAAGAGGAAAGUGGAACUCCAUGUGUAGCGGUGAAAUGCGUAGAUAUAUGGAAGAACACCAGUGGCGAAAGCGGCUCUCUGGUCUGUAACUGACGCUGAGGUUCGAAAGCGUGGGUAGCAAACAGGAUUAGAUACCCGGGUAGUC